rnacentral:lncRNA from 1 species
CGGCGCUUCAUCCACGUCCUGGAGCAGAACCAGAGCGACUUCGUGGAGGAGGCGGAGGUGCUGCGGCUGCGGGAGGAGGUGGCCAAAAGGAUCCGUGCGAGCCAACAGCUGGAGGGCGACCUGAGCCUCAUGGACAUCCAGAUCGGGCUGCUGGUCCGGAACCGCGUCACGCUGCAGGAGGUGGUGUCCCAGUGCAGGAAGCUGACCAGGAAGAACCGGGAGCAGCUGUCGGAGCUGAUGUGCCUGGACAAG